rnacentral:snRNA from 1 species
GUGCUUGCUCUGGCAGCACAUAUACUAAAAUUGGAACAGUGCAGUGAUUAGCAUGGCCCCUGCGCAAGAAUGACACGCAGUAACAGCAACAACAAAAAGAUUGUU